rnacentral:rRNA from 1 species
GAUGAACGCUGGCGGCGUGCCUAAUACAUGCAAGUCGAGCGAACGGACGAGAAGCUUGCUUCUCUGAUGUUAGCGGCGGACGGGUGAGUAACACGUGGAUAACCUACCUAUAAGACUGGGAUAACUUCGGGAAACCGGAGCUAAUACCGGAUAAUAUUUUGAACCGCAUGGUUCAAAAGUGAAAGACGGCCUUGCUGUCACUUAUAGAUGGAUCCGCGCUGCAUUAGCUAGUUGGUAAGGUAACGGCUUACCAAGGCAACGAUGCAUAGCCGACCUGAGAGGGUGAUCGGCCACACUGGAACUGAGACACGGUCCAGACUCCUACGGGAGGCAGCAGUAGGGAAUCUUCCGCAAUGGGCGAAAGCCUGACGGAGCAACGCCGCGUGAGUGAUGAAGGUCUUCGGAUCGUAAAACUCUGUUAUUAGGGAAGAACAUAUGUGUAAGUAACUGUGCACAUCUUGACGGUACCUAAUCAGAAAGCCACGGCUAACUACGUGCCAGCAGCCGCGGUAAUACGUAGGUGGCAAGCGUUAUCCGGAAUUAUUGGGCGUAAAGCGCGCGUAGGCGGUUUUUUAAGUCUGAUGUGAAAGCCCACGGCUCAACCGUGGAGGGUCAUUGGAAACUGGAAAACUUGAGUGCAGAAGAGGAAAGUGGAAUUCCAUGUGUAGCGGUGAAAUGCGCAGAGAUAUGGAGGAACACCAGUGGCGAAGGCGACUUUCUGGUCUGUAACUGACGCUGAUGUGCGAAAGCGUGGGGAUCAAACAGGAUUAGAUACCCUGGUAGUCCACGCCGUAAACGAUGAGUGCUAAGUGUUAGGGGGUUUCCGCCCCUUAGUGCUGCAGCUAACGCAUUAAGCACUCCGCCUGGGGAGUACGACCGCAAGGUUGAAACUCAAAGGAAUUGACGGGGACCCGCACAAGCGGUGGAGCAUGUGGUUUAAUUCGAAGCAACGCGAAGAACCUUACCAAAUCUUGACAUCCUUUGACAACUCUAGAGAUAGAGCUUUCCCCUUCGGGGGACAAAGUGACAGGUGGUGCAUGGUUGUCGUCAGCUCGUGUCGUGAGAUGUUGGGUUAAGUCCCGCAACGAGCGCAACCCUUAAGCUUAGUUGCCAUCAUUAAGUUGGGCACUCUAAGUUGACUGCCGGUGACAAACCGGAGGAAGGUGGGGAUGACGUCAAAUCAUCAUGCCCCUUAUGAUUUGGGCUACACACGUGCUACAAUGGACAAUACAAAGGGCAGCGAAACCGCGAGGUCAAGCAAAUCCCAUAAAGUUGUUCUCAGUUCGGAUUGUAGUCUGCAACUCGACUACAUGAAGCUGGAAUCGCUAGUAAUCGUAGAUCAGCAUGCUACGGUGAAUACGUUCCCGGGUCU